rnacentral:tmRNA from 1 species
GGGGCUGAAUUUAGCUCGACGUUGGACAUUAACAGGUUAGCUCAGCAGGUCGUUUCCUGAACGUUACUCGGGAAAAUCGAACAAGUGCAACAACUUUUCGUAAUGCAGUAGCUGCAGUUAAGAAUUUCUUGGCUCCUAGCUACGCACCAGCUUACGCCUAAAAAUGUAAGCCACGUAUAUCACGACAUCAGAUAGUGUUUAUAGGUGUUAUAUCAUCUGAUUGCUUGCGUUUUAGUGUCCCCCAAAACGUACUAAGAUUUAGGGACAAACAGUUUGGCCUUUUGGCUGUUUCUAGAACCAAACUGCAACCUCAAACAACCUAAACCUGUAGGACAGACUAACUAGUUAAUCUAGCGGACUGGGGCGCAAUUCCCCACAGCUCCACCA